GUGAUGAUGGAUUUUCGGCUUUACUUUAUCAAAAGUGCUGGCCAAUUAUUGGGGAGGAUGUAACUUCAUUUUGUCUCCAACACCUAAAUGGAGGUAUAAGUAUUAGUUUAACUAAUAAAACUAAUAUAGUGCUGAUCCCAAAAAUUCCAAAUCCUUCAAAUAUUACUCAUUUUUGCCCUAUAAGCUUAUGUAAUGUGCUUUAUAAGUUGAUGGCUAAGGCCAUUGCAAAUCGUCUUCGUAUAGUCAUUGACAAAUGUAUAGAUUUAGUACAAAGUGUGUUUGUACCGGGGAGGUUAAUUUCGGAUAAUAUGUUGCUGGCUUAUGAAAUCUUACAUACCUUAAAACUAAAGAAGACGGGGAAAAAAGGCUACAUGGCUUAUGAUAGAGUUGAAUGAAAUUUUAUUGCAGAAAUAAUGAAGCGCGUGGGCUUUGAUUUAGGGUGGAUUGAAUCUCUAAUGAAGUGUGUUUCUACGGUUUCGUACUCGGUGGUUUUCAACAGUCACAUUGGAGAGAAUUUUUAUCCCACAACGGGACUAAGACAGGGCGAUCCUUUGAGUCCAUUUCUAUUUUUAAUAUGUGGGGAAGGUCUGUUCAGUCUUAUGAAACUUGUUAUGCAAGGAAAUAUACUUAAAGGGGUUAAGGCAAGUAGAAGUGGACCGCAGGUUUCUCACUUGUUAUUUGCAGAUGAUAGUAUUCUAUUCGGUGAAGCUACAGAAAAGGGGGCUCAUUCACUGAAACAGAUUUUGCUUGAAUAUGAGAAUUGUUCUGGACAGUGUGUAAACUUUGAGAAAUCUAUAGUUUUCUUUAGUGCUAAUAAACAUGAAGGGGAUAAAACAGUUAUUUUUAGGGUUCUUGGAGUGCGUAGUUCUAAUAAUCCGGAAAGGUAUCUUGGUUUGCCAAAUCUGGUGGAUAGAAGGAAGAAAAUGUUGUUUCAAAUUUUGAAAGACAGAAUGAAAAAACGGAUUGAUAGCUGGAGUGUAAGACACCAUUCUCAAGGAGGGAAGGAGGUAUUUAUAAAAGCUAUUCUCCAAGCUCUUCCAACCUAUACUAUGGCAUGUUUCCUUAUCCCUAAGUCUUUAUGUUCUGAAUUAGAAGGUAUUAUGGCAAGAUACUGGUGGCAGAAAAAUCGAGAUAAAAAAGGCAUUCACCGGUGCACGUAGAAAGAUUUAUGCUCUUUAAAAGAAGAUGGUGGUUUAGGCUUUCAUAAUCUCGAUAAAUUUAACAUAGCAUUAUUAGCCAAACAAGGUUGGCGUCUUGUCAAUUUUCCUAAUUCGUUACUUAGUCGUGUUUUAAAAGCAAAAUAUUAUCCAAAUUCGGAUUUUAUCAAUGCUCAAUUGGGGAAUUUACCUUCGCUUACCUGGAUAAGUGUUUGGGCAGCUAAAGGGAUUUUAGAGAAAGGAUUAUGCUAGAGAAUAGGAAUAGGGGAUUGGGUCUCUGAUUGGGAUGAUUUAUGGAUUUCGAAAGCUGAAAACGAUAGAUUGCAGAAUGCAACCAACAGUGUGAAUGUCAAGUUAGUAUUCGAUUUGAUAGAUGCUAAUAAUAGAAGAUGGAACACAGAUUUAGUUUCUAGUACCUUCAAUGAGGAGAUUGCUAAGAAAAUUCUGCAGAUUCCUUUGGCAGAGACAAUCUAUGAGGACUUCCAAGUAUGGGGAGGAGAAUCGUCAGGAGAAUAUUCAGCCAGAAGUGCCUAUAAACUAUUACAAGAGACUAAUUCGGGUCCUAGUAAUAAUUUUAUACAGACCGAGAUUAAAAACUUCUACAGAAAAUUAUAGAAUUUACUGAUCCCUCCAAAAAUUAAAAUUACAUGUUGGAGAAUGUCUUGGAAUUAUAUUCCAACUCUAGCUAAUUUACAGAGUAAAAAGUUACAGUGGAAGCUCGUUGUCCCCAAUGUCACACCUCCGAUGAAGACAGUAACCAUGUCUUCAGAUACUGUCCUGCAUCAACAGAAGUGUGGUCAAAUUUAGAACUCGCAUGGGUAAAUAAUAAUAAUAUUCAAAGCUUGUGGGAAUGGCUUAUCUGGGUUUUCAGGCAGGGAAACAUCAACUAGUGUCGCCUUUUUUGCUAUGGGCUAUGGUCAAUCUGGAACCAUAGAAAUAAAUUCAUCUAUGAGAGAAAGAUUUCAACAGGCAGAGAUAUUUCAAAACAAGUCAUUAGUUUCAUAGCAGAAGUAAAUGGAGCAAAGGAAAAAUGACAUACUACCAUUGUUGACAGAAGCCACAAGCAAAUGGAAAGAAACACGAGAGUGACAAUUUAUUUUGAUGCGGCUUUUGACAGGAGAACUUCUCGAUCUGCUUCAGGUUUGAUUGUUUAUGAUACGGAAGGGGAAAUCAUGGCUUCUAAGCCAGUGAUUCAUUUCGAAAUACCAUCUCCAUUUGCAGCAGAGGCUCAUGCAUGUUUAAAGGCGAUUCAGUUAGGUUCUUCAAUGGGUUUAAACAUUUUGGAUAUUAAAGGAGACUCAAGAACUGUUAUUAAGAAAUGCCAAACCGCAAACCAAGAUAAGUCGGUUAUAGGGGCAAUAAUCAGAGAUAUUCAUAGCAAAAAAAUUAUCUUUCAGAAUAUUGGGUUUCAUUUCAUUCCUAAAUCAGAAAACGAGAAUGCUUAUUUUAUUACUAAAGAAGCACUAAGACGCGGUGAAGGACAUUACCUGUUGGGGAUGCAUCCAAGAUAUACCUAACUAGAGAGGGAGCGACGGAGGCCAAGAGAACCAGACAAAGGAGACACAAGAACGUCCUUUUUUUUUUUGCUAAAGAGACGCUGCAAAGAAAUGAAGGCAUCAGGAGAGGAAACGACAGAGGUCAAGAGAAUCAGAUGAAGAAGGUUCAAUAAGAUUUUGAAGAUAUUGAUAGCAGUUAUUAAAAGAUUUCAUUGGGAAAAUGCUAAAAGCUGGGCGGUGGAUAUGAAAAUAUAUAGGCUAGUGUCAUCCAGCUGUUUGAUUGACUGGAUAGAGGA
rnacentral:lncRNA from 1 species